CAGUCGCCGCGGUAAUACGGAGGGUGCAAGCGUUAAUCGGAAUUACUGGGCGUAAAGCGCACGCAGGCGGUUUGUUAAGUCAGAUGUGAAAUCCCCGAGCCUAACUUGGGAACUGCAUUUGAAACUGGCAAGCUAGAGUCUUGUAGAGGGGGGUAGAAUUCCAGGUGUAGCGGUGAAAUGCGUAGAGAUCUGGAGGAAUACCGGUGGCGAAGGCGGCCCCCUGGACAAAGACUGACGCUCAGGUGCGAAAGCGUGGGGAGCAAACAGGAUUAGAUACCCGGGUAGUCCCUGUCUCUUAUAC
rnacentral:rRNA from 1 species